rnacentral:lncRNA from 1 species
UCUGAUCGACAAGGAGCAGUUUGUCCUUUUAUUUAGAUACCAAACCACACAACACAGAACAGCAGUUCUAUGCACAUCAACACAGCAUCGUCAAUCCAAUCAAGCCCCGCUUGUUAAAGGACAAGGACAUGGAUAAAUCUCAGCUGGUGAAAGCAUAUGCGUAAUCCAUGUAUCUAAACGUAAUAGGCUUUGCAUCAGUGAGUUGCACGCUUACAGAGUGUCAUAAAGCUUUAUCUACAUAUAUGAUGAAAUUGAAGUCAGACUUGACAAACUCAGAACUCCCUUUCUGGGAAGAGGAUAGGAGCAGCCAGGGACCAGAUGUACAGAGCUGCGGUUGCCCAUCCAGUCACGAUCCUGACCCACACAGAUGGCCACCCAACAUCCACCAAUCUCCCACUCUCACCAACUGAGGUCGACCACCCUGUCAGGAGCAUAGCUGAAUACAUGCUUGCAAGAGAGAAGAUGAUGUGGAAGAAGGUAUAUGAGUAUGUGACUGGCUUAGCCUCGUGUUUUUCUUCAGGCACAUCCGUCUUUUCCAGUGGAAGCAAAGGCUUUCCAGCACCUUUAUGAGUAAAAGGAGAGUGUUAGUUCUGAAAGAGCAGACAAAAAAAAAAAAAAAAAGCCUAAAAAUGGGUGAGUCCCUUACAACUUUGUAUAACCUAAAUGUGAAAUAAUGAUUUUUUUUUUCCUGAUCAAUUGUCCCAGAGAAUAGAUGUCUUUUUUUUCACUAAAACUAUAGGAGUCAAAAGCUGCAAGAGAUCUUUAAUUUUCUUAUCUUGAAGUAAACAAAGAUUCAGAGACAAAAGAUAAAACAUUUGUAGAUACAUAAACAAAAUAUCCCCCUCUGAAACCUUCUGAAGUGAAAGAUCAAAAUCACUACUGUAAUUUGAAACUAAUGAUUUACAAAGCACAGAAGAAAAACGCAACGCAAAUCAGUAGCUCAUGAAGAGAGACCAUGAAAAUUUUGAGAGAGAUUCUACAAGGUUUGAAAUGAAGUAUGAAUAUUCAGGAGAUAUUUUCAGUAUUUUUUAACUUUCCUGAGAAAAAGGUUAUCAAUAGAGAGAAAAUACUGCAAGUAACAAAAAGAUGCCCAUGGGUUGUUUUGUGCAUAUUAGAGAUCUUUUGUGCUCAGAUUGGUCUGGAUGGGUUGUUUUUCUUUUGUUCACCCACUGGGCUUUCUAUCUCUCUCAUGUAUUGCACAUACACACACAUGCAUUUACACGCCAUUUAAGUGCAGCACCUUCUGUAUUAACAUAAAUAUUCAUCUCUCAAGCCUCUUUAUAAUUACCUAAUAAACAGUGUUAUCAAUAUGCUAUAUUCCAAUUCUAUUGCCUUCCUAUGUUAUAAUUCUCACUCUGGUUAUGUAUCUUCUACAAUAAAUAAUCCUUUUUAGAAGUACCAUAGAGCCUUGCAGGCUUGCACUCUUAAUUGCCAAAGUCUACAACAAACCAAGAGACUCAAAAGUGACACUGGUCUUGUCACAGGCUGCUCCAAUCUUUGCACAACCAUGGUAUCAGCAAUAUACGACACCUAGCUCACAAAGUAGGUGUCAUAGAGUGCUCCAUGCAUGCUGCACAUGCUCAUUGGCAAUGUGUCAUGCCCAAAUGGAUGAUGAAACAUUUAGGUUCUUUAUGAAUCUAAAAGCAAAUUUUAUGGGUUCCCAAACAUUUUAUGGAAGGUUAACAUUCAUUUACUUCUUGGAUCACCAUCAGCACAUCAACUAAAAGGAGUCUCUGCAUCCACAUUCCAUAGAAUAGUGUGCAAAGUCAACAUUCAUAAGAGGAUUUAUAUUUUUGUAUGAAUUCUAACCUGCACGUGGUGAACUUGGUGGGGAGAGAAGAGUUGUUGAAGAACCAGCACGAACAGCAGAGUAGAUAACCGACAGAAUAGUGGUCAGCAGUCCCAAGGUAAGGGUGCCAGUGGAAACAGCUUUAGAGUGCUUGUGAAGGCCAUUGCAUUCAUAAUCCCUGGGCUCACUGGAAAGCCCACUGUAGCAGAGGUACAUGCAAUACAAAGAUACAACUGAAGCUGGCAAAAUGCUGCCACCAACCUAAUUUGCAUCCAUCAAAACCGUGAGAUAUCAAGGAUGAUGAAAUCUCAAUUUUUGAAGUGAACUAGAAAAUCAAUAUGCACUUAGAAGAAUAACCAUGAAAUGUGCUCAAUUCAACCCAAGUUGCCUUACUACUGUAGAAUUUAGAUCGCUUCUUUGUUCUUUUUAUUCUUUAUUCAAGAAUAGGUAGGCUCCUUCAUAGGUUACCAGCUCCAAAUACCCAGAUUAUAAUUCAAUGGAAAAGGAAAAGGCAGUACACAUGGUCAAAUACCAACAAAACAUGCUCUAGCAAUCAUUUGUCUCCAACAGGUUCGUUCAUUUUUGACUUUGAACUCUGCUUUUUAUUGGAUUUGAUUAUUUGGAAUUAAACCUAGAAAUCCUAGAUUGACCCUAACUCCCUGCCACCUGAGCCAAUCUCCAUUAGUAAACAAACUAUAAAACUAUUAAGUUAAACAAGAUGACAAUUUAGGUGUAUAUGGGCCUGUUUGAGAACAUUUUCAAAAACAGUUCUCAAUUCUUUUCAGGAACAAAAUUCUGUUUGAGAACUCUUACAUAUAAAACAAAAGUUUUCAAAUAGAAAUUAGGAGCUAAUCGUGCAAGGAAAGCCUACACCAUCAAUGAGUAUGGCAAACUUAAUAAGUCAUUUUUUAAUCAUCAUAUGAUCCUUAUUCUGACUGUUAUGGGAUGGCUACAUAGAACCAUUCUGAAUCCAUUCUAUUUACGUCCAUUACUUCCAUCAAGUAUUUUGUGCACAAAUUUACUAUCAUAAUAUGCAUGGUCUUGGAAGAUGAGCAAACUAGUCAAAUUGAAAAUAUUUGGCUAUAAUUACAAGUUGACAGAUUAGAAACUUACUGCUGGAUGCAGAGCCACUAUUGCAAAAACAAAAGCAAGAAUCAGGGUCAUAACAAUAAAGAAGGUGUUGAGCCCACAAUCAUGUCCAGAUGGAGUAAAGAAAUGGAAGAGAAGUCCCGAGAAGGAAAAUGUUGCCACAUAGCAAACAAGUGAAACAACAAAUAGAGCA